CCUCUAUGGGAAGGGAAUGGUUUUGCAGGCAGAGGUAGGUACCAUUGCUCCACCUAUGACCAAAUGGCACUCUUCAAUUCUAUAUUCAGGUGGAUGCAUCCUCACGAAUGGCACUGGCACCUCUGCACAUUUCCAUCCCUGGCUGGAGACAGCACCAAGGACUAGAGGCAGGUUUGCUCUGCUCAGUCCCAGGAUGCAGCAGAAGGGGAUGAAGAAAGAGGCACAUAAUCCUGUCUGUGAUCCAAUCCAGUUUUUCCAGGUGAAAUCUCGUGUACUUCUGAGCCUCACAAAACCAAAGAAGUUGUCUCUGAAAUGACAUUUCCUACAAAUGCCUGGAGUCCUUAUCCUCUUGGAUCCAGCAAGUCAAGUCCAUUCUCUCUACCUACAAAUGAAGUCUUUCUGAUCAGAGUAAUGCAAGGAAAAAGAAAGGUUGCUUCCCAAGUCAAUUGGCGGCCUUGUCCACAACACAGGGGACUGUAACUUGCAUUGAAAAGACAUUUCUUUCUAAUUGAGUUAUGUGUUUUGUGUUUUCUUUUUAUUUUUUUUCUCCUAAAGCUCAACGUGUUUUUUAUUUAAAAUAACUUUAUCUGCUUAGAAUGUCCCUAAUCAGAACCAGCA
rnacentral:lncRNA from 1 species